AUUGAACGCUGGCGGAAUGCUUUACACAUGCAAGUCGAACGGCAGCACGGGGCAACCUGGUGGCGAGUGGCGAACGGGUGAGUAAUACAUCGGAACGUGCCCAAGUCGUGGGGGAUAACGUAGCGAAAGUUACGCUAAUACCGCAUACGAUCUACGGAUGAAAGCGGGGGAUCGCAAGACCUCGCGCGAAUGGAGCGGCCGAUGUCAGAUUAGGUAGUUGGUGGGGUAAAGGCUCACCAAGCCAACGAUCUGUAGCUGGUCUGAGAGGACGACCAGCCACACUGGAACUGAGACACGGUCCAGACUCCUACGGGAGGCAGCAGUGGGGAAUUUUGGACAAUGGGCGCAAGCCUGAUCCAGCCAUUCCGCGUGCAGGAUGAAGGCCUUCGGGUUGUAAACUGCUUUUGUACGGAACGAAACGGUCUGCCCUAAUACGGCGGGCUAAUGACGGUACCGUAAGAAUAAGCACCGGCUAACUACGUG
rnacentral:rRNA from 1 species